GUACUGUUGAAGAGUCCCAAACUUGGAGGAAACAGCCGUCCAGUAC
rnacentral:hammerhead_ribozyme from 1 species